rnacentral:rRNA from 1 species
GUCUAUAGCCAUGCCACCCUGAACAAGCCCGAUCCCGUCUGAUCUCGGAAGCUAAGCAGGGGCAGGCCUGGUUAGUACUUGGAUGGGAGGCCACCUAGGAAGACCAGGUGCUGUAGGUG